rnacentral:lncRNA from 1 species
UGGGAUUCUCUAAAGGUUCCUUACAGAGAAAGACCCAUGUCCUGCGAGUUUGGUCCGAAACGGACGGUCGGAUUAGCCAAAAUUGCAUUAUCGCUUAAAAUCCAAACUCUAGCCCCAGGGUUCGCGAUUUCGGAGUAUCCGGGACUCCGAUUCGCAAUCCGUCGAAUCCUACACGAUCCUGAAAUCAUGUAGAAUGACAUAUCUGAAUUUGGGUGUGAUCCAACGGCUCGACGACACUGCACCCAAGGAUCGC